rnacentral:sRNA from 19 species
GAGUUUCGCCAAAGCCCACCUCCUCCCGGGCAAAGGCGAAAGAUGGUCUGCCUAUCUCCUCCCGAUAGGGCAGACCACUCCCAUGUCGCCCGCCGGUCCUCCCCCGGCGGGCGCAUUCG